UGAGCUGUUGUUGAACUUGUUUACUCUGCAACAGGCGACCUUACCUCUUACACCACCAACGCCACUUUUGUCUGCGCAAAUACCUAGUUAGUGGUUUGUGAUCUUUGGGAUUGUGGUGGCUGGUAUAAAAAGGCCAAAACCACUUUGCGGCGGCUCAGUUCAAAUACGCGCUUAACACAAAUAAAGGCAAUACCAAACGGGGCAUUGUCAAUACCGAUCGAGUAGGCUAUUAAAAGAAAUAGUAAUAGUUUAUUUUUAUGCGCAGCACAAGAACGGUUUAGCGGGUAGGAGACGCAACGUACAAAAGGCGUGGUGGGUGGCUUUCAAGAUUUGUUGAAGCAUCAGCAUCAGCUAAAAGCGUUUACGCAGCGAUUUGGAAGAUAAAAUAUUAUUUAAGUUAAAAAAACUGAGCGAAAAUUUUUUUGCAAAAAUCACCGACAAAUAAGUGCUGAUAUAUUUCUAACGACUCAACACAAACAAUUGUGCAGCGAUGAAUGUGUUACAAGCCUAUUACUU